GCUCUUGGGUCGUAAACCUCUUUUCUCAGGGAAGAACACAAUGACGGUACCUGAGGAAUAAGCAUCGGCUAACUCCGUGCCAGCAGCCGCGGUAAUACGGAGGAUGCAAGCGUUAUCCGGAAUGAUUGGGCGUAAAGCGUCCGCAGGUGGCUGUGUAAGUCUGCUGUUAAAGAGUGAAGCUCAACCUCAUAAAAGCAGUGGAAACUACACGGCUAGAGUGCGUUCGGGGCAGAGGGAAUUCCUGGUGUAGCGGUGAAAUGCGUAGAGAUCAGGAAGAACACCGGUGGCGAAAGCGCUCUGCUAGGCCGCAACUGACACUGAGGGACGAAAGCUAGGGGAGCGAAUGGGAUUAGAUAC
rnacentral:rRNA from 1 species